GUUGGCAUACAGGUUGCAGAGGGGGCGCCCGUGCUAAGCCAGGUGCUGUGUGUGAACUCACUGCUAAGCCAGGUGCUGUGUGUGAACUCACUGCUAAGCCAGGUGCUGUGUGUGAACCUGCUGCUAAGCCAGGUGCUGUGUGUGAACCUGCUGCUAAGCCAGGUGCUGUGUGUGAAUGGGAUGCUAAGCCAAGUGCUGUGUGUGAACUCGCUGCUAAGCCAAGUGCUGUGUGUGAACUCGCUGCUAAGCCAAGUGCUGUGUGUGAACUC